CCUACGGGUGGCAGCAGUGGGGAAUAUUGGGCAAUGGGCGCAAGCCUGACCCAGCAACGCCGCGUGAAGGAAGAAGGCUUUCGGGUUGUAAACUUCUUUUGUGAGGGACGAAGCAAGGACCGGUACCUGGCGAAUAAGCACCGGCUAACUACGUGCCAGCAGCCGCGGUAAUCCGUAGGUGGCAAGCGUUAUCCGGAUUUACUGGGGGGAAAGGGCGGGUAGGCGGGAAAGCAAGUCAGAUGUGAAAACCACGGGCUCAACCUGUGGCCUGCAUUUGAAACUGUUUUUCUUGAGUGCUGGAGAGGCAAUCGGAAUUCCGGGUGUAGCGGUGAAAUGCGUAGAUAUACGGAGGAACACCAGUGGCGAAGGCGGAUUGCUGGACAGUAACUGACGCUGAGGCGCGAAAGCGUGGGGAGCAAACAGGAUUAGAUACCCUUGUAGUC
rnacentral:rRNA from 1 species